UUUUAGAACUAAAAAAGGUUUUGACUUCGCGAAAAUACACAGAACAUAUACAGGUACUGGUUAAGAUAGUUUGGCGAGAGGCCAGAAUGCUUUAGUCCCGAAAGGAGGAAGGCCAAUCUCUCACCAAAUCUAGCAAUCUGCUCUGACUUUUCUCUAGCAACUCCUGUUUGGACGACCUGGAGAUACCAGAACACAAUUAUCCAUAUACUUACUUCUCUUACAAAGUCCAGGAGUAUGAGUGUUGCGAUGGUGCUCAAAUAUACUUUUUUAGUACUUGCAUUUUGCAAUAUUUGUAUUGUUUGCUUUUGUUCCUCU